UUGACUCGGGGUGCCCUUCAUUGUGAAGGCUGAGAAAUACCCGUAUUACCUGAUCUGGAUAAUGCCAGCGUAGGGAAGUC
rnacentral:ncRNA from 1 species